rnacentral:rRNA from 1 species
UACGUAGGGGGCAAGCGUUGUCCGGAUUUACUGGGCGUAAAGCGUGCGUAGGCGGUUGCUUAAGUCAGAUGUGAAAGCCCUGGGCUCAACCUGGGAAUGGCAUUUGAAACUGGGCAGCUAGAGUGUGAUAGAGGAUGGCGGAAUUCCCGGUGUAGCGGUGAAAUGCGUAGAGAUCGGGAGGAACAUCCGUGGCGAAGGCGGCCAUCUGGAUCAACACUGACGCUGAGGCACGAAAGCGUGGGGAGCAAACAGG